rnacentral:rRNA from 1 species
GAUGAACGCUGGCGGCGUGCCUAAUACAUGCAAGUCGAGCGAACAGAUGAGGAGCUUGCUCGGCGGACGUUAGCGGCGGACGGGAGAGUAACACGUGGAUAACGUACCUAUAAUAGGGGUAUAACUUCGAAAAACCGGCUCUAAUACCGGAGAAGAUAUUGAAGCGCAGGGUGCAAUAGUAAAAUACGGUGGUGCGGUCACGUAUAGAUGGAUCCGCGCCGCAUUAGCUAGUUGGUAAGGUAACGGCUUACGAAGGGUACGAUGCGUAGCCGACCUGAGAGGGUGAUCGCCCACACUGGAACGGAGCCACGGUCCAGACUCCUACGGUAGGCAGCAGUAGGGAAUCUUCCGCAACGGGCGAGAGCAUGACGGAGCAACGGCGCGUCAGUGAUGACGGUCUUCGGAUCGUAAAACUCUGUUAUUAGUGAAGAACAACUGUGGAAGUAACUAUGCACGGAUUGACGGUACCUAAUCAGAAAGCAACGGCUAACUACGUG